CCUACGGGUGGCAGCAGUGGGGAAUAUUGGGCAAUGGGCGCAAGCCUUACCCAGCAAUACCGCGUGAGUGAAGAAGGUCUUCGGAUUGUAAAGCUCUUUGAUCAGGGACGAACAGAUGACGGUACCUGAAGAACAAGCCCCGGCUAACUACGUGCCAGCAGCCGCGGUAAAACGUAGGGGGCGAGCGUUAAUCGGAAUUACUGGGCGUAAAGCGCUCGUAGGCGGUAUGUCAAGUCAAGGGUGAAAUCCCCGCGCUCAACGUGGGAACUGCCUUUGAAACUGGCAAACUGGAGUGUGUGAGAGGAUAGUGGAAUUCCAGGGGUAGGAGUGAAAUCCGUAGAUAUCUGGAGGAACAUCAGUGGCGAAGGCGACUAUCUGGCACAUAACUGACGCUGAGGAGCGAAAGCGUGGUUAGCAAACAGGAUUAGAUACCCCGGGUAGUC
rnacentral:rRNA from 1 species